ACGAUUAGAUUAAAGUUGUUGUUAUUGUUCGAAUCCCCUUCACGACACAUUUUAAAAAACACACCGACUGACUCUUUGCAUCCCGUCUUGAAAAGCGUUUGGUCUUUUUACCAAAACUAUAAUUUGAACGUCCUUGUGUCUGAUACCAACGAAGAGAAUGACAUCUGAAGCGCAGCGCGUGGAGACGCCAAUUGUUGGUGAGAUGGACAGCGCGAGCGCAGAGUGUAAGUCAGAGUACAGAGCAACUUACAGUAGAAGACAGUCAAAUUGGAGCUCAGGGCUUUAGGGUUAAUUAUUUUUAAACGGACCAGAGGCACAUCAAAUAUCCAACAAAAGAGAUUUAUAUUUAAUGACAAGUUAAAUGCUCACACCUCUGUAUUAUAUUAAAGCUCUUUGGAAGGAAAGACUUUAAAGUAUUAAGCGAGAUCAAGUCAAGGUACAAAGUAGGAAAGCUGCUGUGUGAAGGAGGUGAAGGUGCAGUAUAUGCAGGGGUUCGUCUGUCGGAUGGCACUGAGAGUGGUGCAGAGAAAAACUUUACAUGGGCUGUCCUACCACCAUCUGGACACUGGGCGUCCUCCUAUACACGAUGCUCUGCGGGAAAUGGCCCUUUGAGACGACGGAAGAAAUUAUUGCUGGCCACCUGCACUUUCCUCCUGACUUGUCUAAAGACUGCCAGAAGUUUAUAUUACUGUGUCUGGCACAAAAGCCUAAGUCUCAACCAUCCUUCAAGCAACCGCUGAAGAACCGGUGGUUGAAGAGCAGCUCAAGGUCUACACAGAGAAUUCCCAUCAUUCGGGGCCUUGUUACUCGUCUCGUACAGAUUCGAGACGCUCACAGAAAAAAGAAGCAUACGAGCGCACCAAAACGAAGCUCCUUUUCUCCAUAUUUUCUACUUCGGCUUUAUUGUAUAAAUCUCUGUAUGUAUCUUUGUUGGU